GAAUUGACGGGGGCCCGCACAAGCAGUGGAGUAUGUGGUUUAAUUCGAAGCAACGCGAAGAACCUUACCAGGGCUUGACAUCCCUCUGACAGGCAUAGAGAUAUGCCCUCUCUUCGGAGCAGAGGAGACAGGUGGUGCAUGGUUGUCGUCAGCUCGUGUCGUGAGAUGUUGGGUUAAGUCCCGCAACGAGCGCAACCCCUGUUGUUAGUUGCCAUCAUUAAGUUGGGCACUCUAACGAGACUGCCGGUGACAAAUCGGAGGAAGGUGGGGAUGACGUCAAAUCAUCAUGCCCCUUAUGUCCUGGGCUACACACGUACUACAAUGGCGACUACAGAGGGCAGCGAGACCGCGAGGUUAAGCAAAUCCCGAAAAGUCGUCCCAGUUCGGAUUGCAGGCUGCAACCCGCCUGCAUGAAGUCGGAAUUGCUAGUAAUGGCAGGUCAGCAUACUGCCGUGAAUACGUUCCCGGGCCUUGUACACACCG
rnacentral:rRNA from 1 species